rnacentral:rRNA from 1 species
GAUGAACGCUGGCGGCGUGCCUAAUACAUGCAAGUCGAACGAAACUUCUUUAUCACCGAGUGCUUGCACUCACCGAUAAAGAGUUGAGUGGCGAACGGGUGAGUAACGCGUGGGCAACCUGCCCAAAAGAGGGGGAUAACACUUGGAAACAGGUGCUAAUACCGCAUAACCAUAGUUACCGCAUGGUAACUAUGUAAAAGGUGGCUAUACUACCGCUUUUGGAUGGGCCCGCGGCGCAUUAGCUAGUUGGUAGGGUAAAGGCUUACCAAGGCAAUGAUGCGUAGCCGAAUUGAGAGGUUGAUCGGCCACAUUGGGACUGAGACACGGCCCAAACUCCUACGGGAGGCAGCAGUAGGGAAUCUUCCACAAAGGGCGAAAGCCUGAUGGAGCAACGCCGCGUGGGUGAAGAAGGUCUUCGGAUCGUAAAACCCUGUUGUUAGAGAAGAAAGUGCGUGAGAGUAACUGUUCACGUUUCGACGGUAUCUAACCAGAAAGCCACUGCUAACUACGUG